rfam:Cicer arietinum chromosome Ca1, whole genome shotgun sequence.
CCAGCUGUGAUGAGGCUAUAACAUGUAAGAAGACUCCCUUUGUGGGUUUACUUCCAUGAAUUUUACUUGUUACGCUUGGCUUCUGAGAUUU